UCUCUCUCCCCAUUUCUCACCUGUCUCUCUCCCAUUUUUCCCAAAAUUGAACCUCAGAAAGCAUGACUAUCAACUCCGACACGCCGGCCGUCCUCAUUACCUCCGGUCGGCGUCACCUAGCUGAAGAAAAAAUCAAUACCACUCUGUUUACCCAUAAAAUAGUGACUGCGUUUUUGAAAACUUCUCCAUUGCCGUUGGUCCAGAUUCGUGGAUUUGUGAAGAAGUUGGGUACUGCAAACUUCCGGCCACCUUGCAGUCCAAACAACAACCAUCAUUUUCCUUGAACACGACAUUCAUACUCGUCGCUUCAGAUUAUAUGCUACAAUGGUGGAGAAGAAUUCUGGAAUUUGCCAUAGCUGUAGAGGCAAAGGGCAUUUCUUCGUCGAAUGCCAAAUUAAAUGAAAAUGUCCAUUGUGUAAGAAUGGAUUUGAAAAGUGUUUUGAGGCCGAAAAAUCAACUCCUAAUAGAGGAAGAUUAUUCAAAUGUUGCAGUAAUAAAUGCGGCUACUGGGCCUGGUUCAUAGGACAGACAAGCGGCGAAUCCACUAACGCUAGCCCUACCUUGGUGACAGCUGAAGAUUGGUCCCGUAGGUUCGAAUCUUAGGUUUGGCUAACUGAAGAAGUGGACUUUGAGAUAUCUGUGAACGUGACGAUUCGCAGGGGAAAAGGCAGUGUAGAAGGGAUUGGAAAAGGAAAGAGGACGGCUUGAUUUGUAGUCAAUUUGUUGAACGUUUUAUGUACUAACUUAUGUAAGGAUUGUUUUUUAGGUUCAAUUCAGCAAACUAUGUAGUUGGUAGCAGGUUAUGGAUGAAACCAAUGUAACCUAUGUAACUUCUAUGGAUGAAACCAAUGUAACUAAAGAUUGUUUUCUUCAUGCUAAUGUCUACAUAUUAUCGACUUCUUCCUAUC